CGGGUGAGUAAUACAUCGGAACAUGCCCAGUCGUGGGGGAUAACUACUCGAAAGAGUAGCUAAUACCGCAUACGAUCUGAGGAUGAAAGCGGGGGACCUUCGGGCCUCGCGCGAUUGGAGCGGCCGAUGGCAGAUUAGGUAGUUGGUGGGAUAAAAGCUUACCAAGCCGACGAUCUGUAGCUGGUCUGAGAGGACGACCAGCCACACUGGGACUGAGACACGGCCCAGACUCCUACGGGAGGCAGCAGCC
rnacentral:rRNA from 1 species